GAUCGAGGGAAAAUGGUGAGCAGAGCUUGGCUCGUCGACUUAAUAUGUUGCUUGCUUAUAGUUUUGCUGCUCCACCUCCAUUUCACCUCUGGAGCUGCGAGGUCCAUCAAUCCUCAAGGAUGUGCUGGUGGUGUAGGUGGAAGCACCCCAACUCAUUCCCCUGGAUGUCACCAUUGAUGAUGGAAACUACGUGUUAUCGUUCUAGUGCCAAAGGAUCCACUAUGAGCAAACUUUUAGCAUUGGAACAAAAAGACGUGGAGAGAUAGAAAAAUUGGUGUGAUUUUGUGGAAGCUCUUCAUUACCCCUAGCAUAAGUUAUUUUCGGAAUAAUUUGUAUCUUUCUCAUCAGUCAUAAGGAAGUCACGUUUUGUUA